CAGUCAAGAUGGUUGUGAGAAGGAAAAGACAUUCUUCCUCCAAUGACUACAUUAUAAAUGGCAUUAAAACCGUACAAUGAUACAGAGAUGAAGAGUCUAUUAAUCCUUCCUGCAGAAUCAGAGAAAGUUUUACAAUAAACUUGAUAUUUGAAUGUCAUAUUAAAAAAGAAAGAAAGGAUUUUAUCAGUAUGACAUGGUGGGGGUGACAUAUUUUUGCUAAAAGGAAUAGCAAGAAUAAAUGCGUGACAGGUUGAAAUUUCAUGAUGUAUUUAGGGAAUCAUGAAUCUGCUUGUGUGAUUGAAUAAAUGGGCAAAAGCUUGGACACUGUGGGAUAUAAGACUUGAAAGGACAACUGGGGCCAGAAUGUCAAGUAUUUUAGUAUAUUCUAACACCAGAGGAAUGGUUAAAAGUGCAAGAUAAUUUUCCUUGGAAAAUAUACUGGAACUUGUGUAUCAAUAGCUGCCUUCAAAUAGUCAAACUUCUAUAAUAUUAAAAAAUAGUUAUUUUCUGUGUGUCUGUGAAGAGAAAUUUAGAAACUAGUAGAUAAAAAUUGUAGCUACUAGGUGUGGUAGGUUGGAGCACUGAUCUCAAUUUUUUUUUUUUACUUUCUCUUUGCAUUGUAGUUAUGCAUUCAUACCCCUAGCCAUGUGUACAUGCAUCUUUUCCACUUGAAAUACGUAGUACAUUUUCAUGCCACAUUGAUGCUAGGCUGGUGUAUAAUAUGUGUUUUGAAGGAAUAAGGUGGCAGAUCUGAGGAAAGACUCUAACAUAAAUGGUUUUGCUAGCUUUCUGGAACUUCUCUCAACUGCGUUGAGAACUCCUUGAGUAGUUGCUGCUCCGAAGAGGCUGAGAAAACAUACCAAGCAAACCUGAUCUCAGCCCAAAGUAUGAAGACAAACUCAUCGGAAUUCAGCAAAGUCACAGCUCACCUACUUAUCACUGAAGCUGCAGCUGAAGAUCCUGCUGUGUCUCUGAGGAAAUACAAAAGGAAGAGAAAGUAUAAAC
rnacentral:lncRNA from 1 species